GGAGGAGAGGGCCGGUUCCUCUCCAGAAAGCUGGGUGCUAUGACAGAUGAGACUUUUAUGCAAGAAAACAAAUCCUACACCUUUGAUGUACUGCUUGAAACUUAAAGAUCUCUUUGGACAUGAAAUUGUAAGACAAAAUGACAGCCCAGGAAGUAGAAGCAGAUGCUAUUUGGAGAACUCAGGCAACUGACAUCUGAGGAGUCUGCCAACACUAGGCUGCACUCAAACUGGUAAUCCUCCUGCCUCAGCCUCCCAGGGUGAAGAGAUUACAGGCAAGUGCCACCACACCCAACUAAUAUAUGUAAGUUUUUAUCCAUUAAGUUUAUUGGUGCAUUUGAUGUAUACAAUAUGAUGACACUCAUCAUUGGGAAUUUGUACCUGUACAUGAUAUAUCUUGGUUCUAGAGGGCAGGAGAAUGGGAAAGAAAUAAUAUACAUAACUUUUAAAAGAAAUUUUCAGUUUACAGAAAAAUGGAUUUCAUUGAUUGUGUAUACAGAAAACUAUCAUAAAUACCAAUGUUACCUAGAUUUUCUCCUAUCUUAUCUUUUAGGAGUUUUAUAGUUGUGAUUUUUAAAUUUAAG
rnacentral:lncRNA from 1 species